UCCGGUUUGUCACCGGCAGUCUCGCAUGAGUCCCCAACUAAAUGCUGGCAACAUACGACGGGGGUUGCGCUCGUUGCGGGACUUAACCCAACAUCUCACGACACGAGCUGACGACAGCCAUGCACCACCUGUGAUCCUGCCCCGAAGGGAAGCCCUGUUUCCAGGACGGUCAGGAACAUGUCAAACCCAGGUAAGGUGGGGAUGACGUAGUCGGAUUCUAAG
rnacentral:misc_RNA from 1 species